rnacentral:sRNA from 1 species
ACUCAAGCAUCGGGAUAUACUGAGCCAUGGCUCCAGUAACGAUGACGUCAAGGUACUUAGUGUUAGGCCAAAUCUUAGUAAUAAUACCUUCCCAACUAUUGUCUUGACCACAUACCGAAGUUAUGAAAUCAGCCAGUUCUUGGUCCGGUUUGGUCAAGAUCUUGGACAUGCUCUCUU